rnacentral:misc_RNA from 1 species
AGCUCCUAUUCCCAAUCCAUACUUUGCUGCUGAAUAUAGACUGCAACUGCCAGGAGAAUUGCAGUGGUGGGUAUGGCAAUGUCUCCAAACUUAGAGUAAAAGUCCACAUUUGGGUUCACAAAUUCAUAUUCAUCAGCAAAGUAUGGAUUGGGAAUAGGAGCUCUUAUGUAAUCAUAGACGUGAGGAAGAAGUCUGACAAAUGUAAUCCCCAUGAAAUAGAGUUCCUUCAAAGGCUUACAAUCAAUUUGCCACAUAAUAUUUCCAAUGACUUGUGGCAGCAAGAAAAAGUCUUGCACAAGACCCACAUACUCCUCAAGUUCAGUUUCCCAUUCUUGCAAUGUACGGGAAUUACCAGCUGAAUCAAUAUAUUUCUCCAUUCGGAAAGGCUUCCGGCUCGUUUUAAAACUAUGAAUGAUGAGAACAAUUACAUACCCAGUUACAUGUAUGGUCAAUAUGGCAAGGAAUACCCGCUUGUCAUUUGGGACACGAUGUGGCUCAUGAGGAGUUCUUGCAAGUAACCUGAUACGAGAUUUCCACACCUUCUGACAAAGUCUUAGAGUUAGCAGAAAUGAAACCAUGACAAGAAGCUUCACUGUAUAAUCAAUCACAUGCACCCACUGAUUCUUCUCAAGAUCAUAUGAUGAUGUUUCAUAAGAUUCAGAUGACAUCCUCUUGAAGAGAGCUUCUGCACCUGUAAUCAGUGGAAGGC